CCGGGGUCUGGCUGAGCUUCCCCGUGACCAGCCUGCACCUGCUCCUGCAGCCCCGAGUCCUGGGCCAGGCAUCCAGGAGAGAGGCCAUAGGGAAAUAGCAAAGGAGAGCAGACUUGGCUUAAGGAAAGACAGUAACGCCUGAACUUCAAAACCACAAGCUGGGCUGGGCAGGCUCGCUGGCUCCCACCGCAGCAAAAGAAUCUUCAGGGACGCUGGGAAGGAGGCGCAGUGGGGUGUCAGGCAGACCGAGGCCCGGAGGAGAGGCCAGCACGCUGUCCUGGGUUCCUCCUGUCCGACCCCGGACUGAGCCUGGUGAGCAUUCCCGCCCCACGUUGACCACUUAGGGGCGCCUGGCACGCCCCACUUUGGAC
rnacentral:lncRNA from 1 species